rnacentral:rRNA from 1 species
ACGGUUACCUUGUUACGACUUAGCCCCAGUCACCGAUUUCGCUCUAGGGCGCGCCUCCCGGCGACGCACUUCAAGCGCCCUCGGCUCCCAUGGCUUGACGGGCGGUGUGUACAAGGCCCGGGAACGUAUUCACCGCGCCAUGGCUGAUGCGCGAUUACUAGCGAAUCCAGCUUCACGGAGUCGGGUUGCAGACUCCGAUCCGAACUGAGAGGGGCUUUCGGGUUCCGCUCGGCGUCGCCGCCUGGCUUCCCGCUGUACCCCCCAUUGUAACACGUGUGUCGCCCCGGACGUAAGGGCCGUGCUGAUUUGACGUCAUCCCCGCCUUCCUCGCGGCUUGCGCCGGCAGUCCGUGCAGAGUCCCCAGCCUUUCCUGCUGGCAACUGCACGCGGGGGUUGCGCUCGUUAUGGCACUUAAGCCGACACCUCACGGCACGAGCUGACGACAACCAUGCAGCACCUCGGAAGACGUCCCGAGGGAAAGGGGCGUCUCUGCCCCAGCCGUCUCCCGUUUGAGCCCGGGUAAGGUUCCUCGCGUAUCAUCGAAUUAAACCACAUGUUCCUCCGCUUGUGCGGGCCCC